AGACAGAAGGAAAAAAGUCAGGUUAAUGUUGUCUAUGCAUCACUCAUAACCUGCCAUCAAAAGGCUACAAAAACAGUCUGCUUUCUUUCUCUCUGUCAGAGAAAUAUGGCCAUGUGUGUGAGAGGGGGAGAGACAGGAAGAGUGAGUGUAGUGUGAGCAGGCUUGUUGAUGCGUGUGUUUUCUGUUAACCUUCGUCUGAGGUCAGCCGGCUGAGUGCACCUGCUCUUUUCCAGGCCUGUCCUGCUUCACACUCUUAUUACACACAUUUCAGCUUUUGCUUUCUCUUCUUCGGUUUGAACUACAUAGCUGCAGUUGAUGGGGGUUGAAUGCUUUGCUCAAAGGCACACUGACUGUAGCUGCUAAGGAGAAGGGAAGAGGGAAGUUGCUUUUCUGACUAACUGCGACUUAUGGAUUUUAACUACAGAUUGAAAUCUCCACAACUCCAACUCCCAACUUGCCCCAAUACAUGAACUAAUUAUUCAAUUAGUAAACUCCUUUGUUCCUCACAGCUUUAUUUCUGAUCAAGGAUCGAGGCCUUAAUAAACUUCAAAUGAAGUGCUUGUUGGAUCAUCUAACAGCACCUGAAAUCCCCUUUCCAACUCAGGGAGGUGCAUCAAGACAAGUUUUGUUACUUUCUGAAACAGACAAUCUGACAAUCAUGCCUGAUUUACGUAGCGAUUGGCCAGGUGUGCUGCGGAGCAAAAGAAGGCAUCUUCACACAACUAACUCCGUCAAAUGAACCCAACACCACGAAUGUCUUUGAGGAGUCUUUUCUUGGAGAGAGAUUAGGAAGCCAGGGUGAGGCUAUGACGGCAGGCUUUUCACCACGCCUUCGAGUAGGGCAAUUCAGAACAGAUAUAAACACUUCUGCCUUUAGUCCUUUGUUGUGCUAUAACAUUAUAAAUAAUAACUAACAAAAUGCAUUUAAUUCCACAUUCAUUCAGAACUUAACACCAAUCUAUGCAGUGGGGUGCCAUGGCAUGCAGAGCUCUGUGUCCAUAACAACAAACAACUAGAAUUACCGCCAACCAGUCAAGUUGCAGUUUACCUCCAUGUUUGUCCAGACUCAUUAUAAAUGUAGUGAAUACUUGGAAGGAAGUGAAUCAAGAGUUCAUCCUGGUGUCCAAGUGGAUAUUUGUGCCAAAUUUGAAGAAAUUCCUGUGCAUUAUUAAAGGCCAAACUCCACUACAGCAACACAGCUCAACCUAAGCAGAGGGGUAACUUAAAAAUGAAGAAGAGAGCUGGCAGCACAAGGUGACUCUGUAGGAGGGAAGGAAGAUGAUGCUGGAGCCUUUACUCACCCUGCACAGCCAGGAGCUGCUCCUCUGUAGUCCAACGAGAGUUCAUCUUAGGGGCAGGCUGAGACAGAC